rnacentral:rRNA from 1 species
AAUAGAUACCCAGGUAGUCCACGCUGUAAACGUUGGACACUAGGUGUGGCGGUCUGAUCAACGACUGCCGUGCCGAAGCUAACGCAUUAAGUGUCCCGCCUGGGGAGUACGGCCGCAAGGCUAAAACUCAAAGGAAUUGACGGGUCCCCGCACAAGCGGCGGAGCAUGCGGCUUAAUUCGAUGCAACCCGAAGAACCUUACCUGGGUUUGACAUCAUGGGAAAAGCCGUGGAAACACGGUGUCCGUAAGGGCCCAUGACAGGUGGUGCAUGGCUGUCGUCAGCUCGUGUCGUGAGAUGUUGGGUUAAGUCCCGCAACGAGCGCAACCCUUGUCCUAUGUUGCCAGCGGUUCGGCCGGGGACUCAUAGGAGACUGCCGGGGAUAACUCGGAGGAAGGUGAGGACGAUGUCAAGUCAUCAUGCCCCUUAUAUCCAGGGCUGCACGCAUGCUACAAUGGUCGGUACAACGGGCAGCGAUCCUGCGAAGGUGAGCGAAUCCUAUAAAGCCGGCCUCAGUUCGGAUUGG